UUACUACAAUAUUUAUGAAAUUUAAAAUUUAGUUUGCUGGAGAAAUUCAAUUUUUCUUUUGAGUAUAUUAAUCCAAUAAUUAAAUUUAAAUGAUUUAUUUCUUUACAGAAGAGAAAGACAGAAAGACAAGACAAAAUUCCCGUGUUAGAACAUAUGGACUGUAUUAUUGGAAGAAUCGAUGCAAACGUCGAUUAAAAAAGAACAACUGUAAGAGAAGAGCGUGGUUAAAUGAAUAGAAGAUAAAGAGGAUUUUCUACCUCCUUAGUGAGAAUAGAGAGCGAGCCGGCGUUAAGAGAUGAAAGGUGGAAGAGGCGCUCUUAAUUGAAGUUAUACGUUCUAUUUUAUUGAGUAAUUAAUUUUCCAGUUGGUUCACACUCGCCGUUGCCACGGUAACCGUGUCACGUGACUG